UCGGAUAUGGUGUAACGGCUAACAUUGCCGCCUCUCAUGUUGGUGCGCGGCAGCUCGGGGUUCGAUUCCCCGUAUCCGAA